AAGACUAUAGACCUGCGGAGUACCUGCGGAAGGAUCAUUACUGUGAUUUACUACUACACUGCGUGAGCGGAACGAAAACAACAACACCUAAAAUGUGGAAUAUAGCAUAUAGUCGACAAGAGAAAUCUACGAAAAGACAAACAAAACUUUUAGCAACGGAUCUCU
rnacentral:misc_RNA from 1 species